rnacentral:rRNA from 1 species
GACGUAGGGCGCGAGCGUUGUCCGGAUUUAUUGGGCGUAAAGAGCUCGUAGGCGGCUUGUCGCGUCGACCGUGAAAACUCACAGCUCAACUGUGAGCUUGCGGCCGAUACGGGCAGGCUAGAGUUCGGUAGGGGAGACUGGAAUUCCUGGUGUAGCGGUGAAAUGCGUAGAUAUGCGGAGGAACACCGAUGGCGAAGGCAAUCCCCUGGGCCUGCACUGACGCUCAUGCACGAAAGCGUGGGGAGCAAACAGG